AAUAGUACCCUGGUAGUCCACGCCGUAAACGAUGUCGACUUGGAGGUUGUUCCCUUGAGGGAGUGGGCUUCCGGAGCUAACGCGUUAAGUCGACCGCCUGGGGAGUACGGCCGCAAGGUUAAAACUCAAAUGAAUUGACGGGGGCCCGCACAAGCGGUGGAGCAUGUGGUUUAAUUCGAUGCAACGCGAAGAACCUUACCUACUCUUGACAUCCAGAGAACUUAGCAGAGAUGCUUUGGUGCCUUCGGGAACUCUGAGACAGGUGCUGCAUGGCUGUCGUCAGCUCGUGUUGUGAAAUGUUGGGUUAAGUCCCGCAACGAGCGCAACCCUUAUCCUUUGUUGCCAGCGGUUCGGCCGGGAACUCAAAGGAGACUGCCAGUGAUAAACUGGAGGAAGGUGGGGAUGACGUCAAGUCAUCAUGGCCCUUACGAGUAGGGCUACACACGUGCUACAAUGGCGUAUACAAAGAGAAGCGACCUCGCGAGAGCAAGCGGACCUCAUAAAGUACGUCGUAGUCCGGAUUGGAGUCUGCAACUCGA
rnacentral:rRNA from 1 species